rnacentral:rRNA from 1 species
CAGAGGUCCCGAGCGUUGUUCGGAUUCACUGGGCGUAAAGGGUGCGUAGGUGGUGAGGUAAGUCGGAUGUGAAAGCUCCAAGCUCAACUUGGAAAUGGCAUUGGAAACUACCUUGCUAGAGGGUUUGAGGGGGGACUGGAAUACUUGGUGUAGCAGUGAAAUGCGUAGAUAUCAAGUGGAACACCAGUGGCGAAGGCGAGUCCCUGGAAAACUCCUGACACUGAGGCACGAAAGCUAGGGGAGCAAACAGGAUUAGAUACCCUGGUAGUCCUAGCCGUAAACGGUGCGUAUUUGCUGUAAAAGGAAUCGACCCCUUUUGUGGCGAAGCCAACGCGUUAAAUACGCCGCCUGGGAAGUACGGUCGCAAGAUUA